rfam:Gossypium raimondii Chr01_contig_106, whole genome shotgun sequence.
UGUUAACAUUUCAUCCAUUUUUAUUAUUAAAAACUGAUGUGGCUAAUAGAAUAAUCAGACAGUAAUACGUAGUAUGUUAUGUGUACCUCAUGCUGACGUCCAAUACUAGUUUUUAACAACAUAAAUUUAUGUAAUUUUUAACA